CCUGCCUGAGUCGUUCUUUAAGUAGCUUGUACCCCAUACUUCCAUGGUGGAAACGGAAGUAGAUGGAUCGGCUGCCCAUUUCAUUUACAUUCCUUCGGUAUCUCAGUGAGCAAGUUGAUCGCUUCUGCUGCUUCAGCCGGUGCUGUUGCUCUGUGUGAGAGAGGAAAAGGAGGAGAGAGAUAUACCUAUAUCUAUAUAUAUAUAUAGAUAGAUAGAGAGAGAGGGAGAGAGAGAGAGAGAGCUUCCAUACCCAAAACGGAGCCUCUCGUUGCGUUCCUUGAUCCCUGAGUUUCUGGGCUGCCUUCUCCCGCACUCUUCUCACCCCCUCGCGGCCACGGAGGGGAAGGUCGAUAUGGGCACUUCAGACAGAAGAAGAAUUGGCUUACAGAGUGGUUAAGAAGCGAUUGGUGAUGUGUUUUGGGUACGGAGUGGCAAAAGCGAAGAUGAGGAGGAUGGAGUUUCCUUAGGUGGAGUCUGGUGUGGAUGAGGAACUAAAGGAGGAAGAGAAGCCAUUAACACGCAGCAACGAGUCCACCGUACCGAGGGUACAUUCGACUUGGGACGGCGCACCCAAAUGCAAAAUGCAAUGUGCAAUGUAGCGAGCCUACCAUUUUCUAACGUAGAGAGGAGAAGAAGUACUACAGAGGUCUAGUCCUCGCUCUACUGUUUGGUUCUGUUCUUAUUUUCCUAGCUUCGGGAGAGCUGAGAAGGGUGACGGAGAAGGAAGAUGGCAUCAAAGACCUCUCUCGUGCAAGCACGGCCGAGAUAGUCGAAGCAGCAGAGCAACAUUUAGAGUGCAUCGGCAUUGCUCUCUAUCUUUUUUUUCUUUUAGCCUUGUUUUCUUCCUGUGACAAGGAAGAUUUGAGGAGGAAUGGCCAUGGAAAAGGUGGACGCGCCAGCGAGGGUAACCAAGGUGCGGUGGCGAGGUGAAGAGAGGCCUCAUGGCGACGACGCAGAUGACACGAGGACGUACAGCAUGUGGGACAUGCUCCAUUAUCAUAUCAUUUGCGUGUAAGGAAGAGGAAGGUGCUGUGAUAUUGGCGUCAGCGGCUCAAUCAGCUCUCUUCUUCUUCUUCUUCUUCUUCUUCUUCUUCUGCUUCUUCUCAUCUUGUUAAUUAGCUCUCUUUCUUUAGCUACUUUCUAACGUUGCCAACAUGCUGUUUGUAAUUGUCUUUCGUUCGUCUUCUAAUUUUGUUUCCACUGUUUGAUCAUGCGAGUGAGAUGAAGCUUCGGUGAUUGAGACGAUUGUGUUAAUGGUGGAAAGGAGGAGGGGCAGUUUCUCAUGGCUUGGCUGCAUCAUAGUCAUGCUUCUUUCACUUCUGUCCCUUGAUGACUGGAUGCAUUGGUUGACCACCAUUUGGAAAAUGAUACACCCACAUUGUUGCUCAUGGAUCUCUCUUCUUAACUC
rnacentral:lncRNA from 1 species